CCCUUAGAUGUUCUGGGCCGCACGCGCGCUACACUGAUGCAUUCAACGAGUCUAAAGCCUGCUCUGAUAGGGGUGGGUAAUCUUUUGAAUGUGCAUCGUGAUUGGGAUAGAUGAUUGCAAUUUUUCAUCUUCAACGAGGAAUGCCUAGUAAACGCAAGUCAUCAGCUUGCAUUGAUUACGUCCCUGCCCUUUGUACACACCGCCCGUCGCUCCUACCGAUUGAAUGAUCCGAUGAAUAUCAUGGAUUGAGGAUGCAAGUAGGUUAGCCUAUCUUCAUCUUCGAGAAGUGAAGUAAAUCUUAUCAUUUAGAGGAAGGAGAAGUCGUAACA
rnacentral:rRNA from 1 species